rnacentral:lncRNA from 1 species
UGGAAGAUGUGCCGCCAGGAUAUGAGUACGAUGUGUUCUUGAGUUUCAGGGGAUCAGACACACGCAACAACUUCACUGAUUGCCUUUACCAUAGAUUGAGACUCGCUGGAGUCCAUGUCUUCCUAGACAACGAAGAACUCCGAGUCGGCAAAGAAAUCGGUGGUGAGCUUUUGAAAGCGCUCGACAAGUCUCGGAUCUACAUACCUAUCUUCUUCAAGAAUUACGCUACUAGUUCAUGGUGUCUGCGUGAGGUUGCGCACAUGAACGAAUGCACCUCAAAAUCAGGUGGGAAGAAAGAGAUACUCCCCAUCUUUUUUGACGUGGACCCUAACGACAUUAAGCUUAAACUGAAUUGUACAAGAAGGGCUAUACCCAAGCACAGAAGAAGUUCGGCUCUGAUGCAUUGAGCGGUGGGAGGAUGCUCUUGUAAAGGUUGCACAUCUAAAGGGAUGGGAACUUAAAGGACGACGGUAAUUUUCCUAAACCUUUUGUUUAUCAUUCAUAAGCGCAAUAGUUACACUACUCGUUUGGAGAAACUUUGUCAUCCCAAAAUUCAAGAAUUGAAGACAUUUUUUGCAUUAGAAGUUAUGAUAGCUAGAGCCGACAUAAAUGAUAUCGGAUCCGGCUACCAACCAAAGAAAAAAAAUAUGGCAGAUGACCUAUGAAGCACCAACACUCUCUAGGAGUCUUCGUGUCAUGUUGGACACUUUGACACGUGUCUGACACUUUUCAAUACUUUUUUACACUUGGUCAACACGUGUCAGAAAAUCUGACACCUGGUCAACUUUCAUGACACUCUCUGACACUCGAGUCGGAAUUCUGACAUAUGAGUUUCCGACACAUGAUUCUGAUAUCGAUGUCAAUUUUAAAAAUUCAAUAAAUAAGAGUAAAAAAUAUAUAUAUGAAAAGAUAGAACACGAUAAUAAAAAUAAUAAAUUGAGAAAGAAGAAAAACAUAAUCUUCUCUUCUCUUCUGACUCCCACUUCCCGUUAUACACAAUUCGCCCCUUAAGUUUUUUUCCUAUUUUUCUAACAUAUCUAACAUGUGAGUCCAGAAUAUGAAUAGCUUGUUUUUUCUCCAAGUUUUGUGAAUUAUUGAAAUAGAGUUGAAUUUGUCAAAUUGAAACAUGAAUGAUAGUAAUAAAUGACGGAUUAAUAUUUUUAGUGUAAAUUCAUUCUAGGCUUUUUUAAUUAUUUAUUUACUUAUGAAUUUGAUUCAAAUUAAUUUGAUUGAAAUAAUGAUAAAAAUAAUAAUUUAUCACACGCGCGCGAGCGCGCGCACACACACGUGUCGGAAUUCUCUAUUUUUUGAGAAACGACAUGUCGGCAUGUCGUGUCACAUGUCGGUGUCGGUGCUACUUAGCAAAUGAUAGAACAAAUUUACACUCAUCAGUGAGGACUCGCCGGAGGAAAAGGAAAGAAUAGGGCAAAAAAAGGAUCUGCUUUGAUCCAAUUAACGAACAAAUUCUGAUGACUCUUACUUGAAUGAACCACAUCUGAAUCUGGUCCGAUUACCUGUCUGAUAGACCUAGAGAAAACUCAUCAAAUAAAAUCUGUUCAGUUGUUUUUCGCCAAAAAAAAAAAAAAAUUUACUUAGAAAACAAUGAAACAAUUUCACCUAUCAUGAAUCUGUCGUGCUUCUUUCGAUUUUGCUUGAGACUCCGAAUAUAUUUAGGUUUUAUCUCAGAUUCAACUGUUGUAUGAACGCAAUCCUAUAUAUUUAGCUCAAUAGUACAGAAACUUCGGAAUUUAUGUCACUGCAUGCCAGUUAGUCAAUCCAAGCAUUAUGAAAUAAAAUAUUAUCUUACAAGUUUUGUGAAUCUUAGUCUGUCCAUUCCAUCAAGAAUAUCUCCUUCACAUGCAUUGGCUCUCGCGUUAUCUUACUCAUCUCAAAUACAUCAAAUUAAUUGACAUUCCAUGAAAUAUCAACGCCCGCAUCAACUGAUUAUAAUGCUGAAUUUCUGUCAUAGUAACCGAAAUGGUUGAGUUAUUUAACCAUAUGGUCCCUAGGCACCUAGAGAUCGUCAUAUAUGGAAGAAAUUUGUACCCUUUUAUUUCAUGUCAUUGAUGAAAACAAUAAUUUCCCGCUUUGCUGCAGCCAUGGAGAACUAAUUGAAUUUGUCGUUGGAGAGGUAUUGUGUAAGCUUAAUGCCAGAAACGUGGAUAUGCCUGAAAAUUUGGUUGAAGAUCAUCAUCAGAUAAAAGCCAUAAUAGAGAAGUUGGAUGUUGACUCUGAUGGUGUACGUUUCGUUGGUAUUCAUGGAAUAGGUGGCAUUGGUAAAACAGUACUUGCAAAGGUUGUGUUCAACAAAGUAUGUUCUCACUUUGACGGUGUUUGUUUCCUCAACAACGUUCAAGAAUCAUUGCAGCAUGGGCCUAAAUCAUUGCAGCAUCGUCUUAUAAAGUUGCAAAAAAAGUUAUUGGCAAGUUUUGGGGGUCUUGUGGUUGAUGAUCACAUCAAAGACACUGGAGAUGGGAUGAAUAGGAUCAAGAGAGUAUGUCAUACUAAAAAAGUCCUCAUUGUUCUAGAUGAUCUAGACAAGCAAGAGCAACUCAAAAGGCUGGCCGGAAAAUCUGAUUGGUUUGGUUCAGGUAGUAGGAUCAUCUUCACCACUAGAAACUUAGAGGUCUUGAAGACUCGAGUGGAAUCAUCCAGUGAAGAAGUCCCAAAUCAACCUAAAGGAAUUUUGGCUUAUGAAGUUCAUGGAAUGGAACUUGGUCAUGCACUUUAGUUGUUUUGUAAGCACACAUUCGGAAGAGACUCUCCCCUAGAAGGAUAUGAUCAUCUUGCAAAGGAGAUUGUUUGUAGAGUGGGCAUGCUUCCUUUGGCUAUUGAGGUCAUAGGUUCACAUCUUUAUUGCCAAGGCUCUGCCCUAGAGCAACAUUGUGAUAAUCAAAAGCUAUGGGAAGAUACGUUGAAGCAAUUAGAUGAUGGUCCUUUUAAGGAUGUCCGAGAUGCAUUAAUGAUAAGUUAUGAAGGACUAGAGAUUAAGCAAAAAGAAGUACUUUUGGAUAUUGCUUGCUUUUUCACCUACAAGAACCAAGCAUAUCCAAAUAUCAUGUGGGAUGAUUGCAAUUACCAUCCCCACAGUGCAAUUAAUGUCCUCUGCCUACGGUCAUUGAUAAAAAUUGUUGAUAAUGAGUUUUGGAUGCAUGACCAAGUUCGAGAUCUAGGAAGGUACAUUAUCCUUGAAGAAUAUCCUUGCAAAUAUAGUAGGUGUGGAUUCAUGAGGAUGCUGUAAAUUUACUGGAGAAAAAGAGGUAUACCCGGAGGAGUAUGUCCAUUAAUUCCUUUUUUGGAGAAAUUUGUUGAAUCUGUUCCUUCUGCUUAAUAGUUAGCUUAGUUCAACUGUCCAUUUGUCUUAUGAGUGAGAUAGCUCUCUCUCAAACGUUUGGGUUAAAACAUCUUGCAAAUUAGUGGAGAGAGACUAGACAGAAUGUCUAGUAGUUAACUUCGUUUUCUAGAUUCUAUAGGUUGUGGUUUCAUGAGGAUGCCGCAGAUCUACUAGAGAGAAAAGAGGUAAAAUGGAAGGGUGUGACACAUAAUUUCUUUUUUAACGGAGAAAUUUGUUUAAUCCGUUCCUUUUAUUUUAUAGUUAGCUUUGUUCAACUGUCCAUUUGUCUUAUGAGUCUCAUAGUUUUUAACAGAUUGCCUAGCAGUUAGCUUUUAUAGAUUCUUUAGAAUAAAAAAUAGCAUAAAGAAAAUUCUAAAACAACGGCGGGCCAUUUCAAUUGGAAGUUGAAAAUUUUUGUUAAUAGUGGUGAUCGAAAAUAUGUAAGUCUACUUUUUUCCGAAAAGGAGGGCGCCAUAGUAUGUUUCCUAUUGGGGAAAUUGUUUACCAAUGUCCACAUGCUUCCUUUCUAUAUAGCUCUAUAAAAAAUGUUAAGUGCUCUGCAUUCAAAUUAAUGUCGAGUCUCUAUUAGCAGAGAAAUGAAGAUAUAAAAGCACUAAGCCUGACUUCAUGUGGCUACAGCUGCGGCUGCAACGUUGUACGCGAAGAAUUAGCUUUCGAUGGCUGCAACCACAAAAUUGUACCUGAAGAAUUAGCUGCUCUGCCGAAUUUAAGGUGCCUUAAAGUUCAAGGCCUUGGGUUUUUUGGCAACUUUGAGAAAAUUGUUUCAAAGCUAUCUUGGCUUUCUUGGGAGGUGACGCAUAAUAAAUUUUAUGUGGAGAAUCUUCAUUUUGCUAACUUGGUCGUGCUAGACCUUUCAUAUAGCUACAUCAAAGAUGACUGGGGUGGAUGGAGUCAAUUCCAGGUACACCUUUCUCUAUGUAUCGUAUGGAGAGAUCAAGAAGAGCAUUGUAUGGGUAGAUAAUCUCUGUCUUCUUUCUUUCUAUCUUCACCAAUUGUUCAUGUAAUGAAUAUAUCACUAGGAACAGAAAAUAUUUCACCGAAGUAACGUCUAGCAUGGAUAACAACCUACUAGAUACAUUAGAAAAAGAAGAGGAAGCUAUAAAAUCACAUUAUUUUGAUUGAAUCGUAUGUCUUACCAUAUGAGUCAUCUAGACUGAUUAAACCCAUUUUUUGAAAAAUUUCUUCUUUGAUCAUCCCAUUUCUAACUUCUACUUCUUUAACAAACUCGUCGGCAAUUGCACUCAUGAUCUAAUUCAAUCUUAUAACAUUUUCUUUUUCAUCAAAUUGUGCUAUGUGCAAUUACCGCAAGAUUUUACUGAACUAUAAAAAUGAGGGUAAUUAGGUUUACUUUCCAUCCUGAUAUGUAUCCCAAGGAUGAUUGAAGUGUUUCCUUCAUUUUAAUUCAAUUUCUUUUCCAGCAGAUGACAAAGAAACUAAAAGUAUUGGAUUUAACGGGUUGCAUAUUUUUGACGAGGACACCUGACUUCUCCAAUUUCUUGUCUUUGGAGAUCUUAAUACUUGCUUGGUGUGUCAAGUUGAUCACAAUUGACCGCUCCAUCGGUAAGCUUGAACACCUGAAAACUUUGAAUAUAGUGGGGUGUAGUAAAUCUCUUGGGAAGUUGCCCCCAGAAGUUGGUUCUCUACCUUCUUCAACGCAGAUUGUCACGUAUGCUAAUCGUAUCGAACGUUUCGGGAUGGCGGUUCGUUUGCUAAAUUUAAAGCGAAUGGAGCGAAGAUCCACGACGUGGAAGAGAAAAUCCGAGACCGUUUCAUUGUAAUUGAGGAGAGUCUCCUGGAGCUGAUACGUUUGAUUACACCGCCAAGGGGGCUAGAGCUGCGACGUCAGGAAGAGAAAAUACGAGGGAGGCACCCCCGGAUAGAAUGGCACCCAGAGAUACUUCCAAAGCCUCUUGUGGCUGGAGUGUGGGCGAACCUUAUCCGGUUAAGUUUACAUGGGAGUGGCAGGGACUUGACAGCCUGAAUUUUUGGCCAGAUAUCAUAAUAGAAGUGUGCCCUUGAAAUUAGUUUGACUUCCAGAGUCUACUGGAAGGUAAGGGAGCCAAAUUCCAUCCAUCUCCCAGGCCAUCGGCGUUCUUUAUGGGAAUUAUCAAAUCUAUAUUUGAUCGUAUAAUGUGACAUUAUCAGACUCAAAUUGUGAUUACACUGUAAGUUACUUCGUAUAGAAUGCUUCUCUUUCGGGGCUAAAUUUUAGAAGAUGGGGAAAGUAUAAUGACAGGAAUAUUUCGCCAAUCACUGUGCAAAUUAUUAUCCAUUUUAGGACCCCAAAAACAACGAAAGUCAUGGACCCCCUUUUUAUUAUUUCAGAAUAAAAGAUUUAUACUUCGUGUAAUAGUAGUUACAUUAUAAUUUAUUCCCCAAAAUUCCUUUGUGCCGCAUUUUAAUAAUCAGUUGACGUUUUGUCUGAUUCAUGUUUGAACUAUUUUUAGAUAGAUUAUCCAUGUUGGCAGGGAUAUCUUUUAACCAGUAGAAGAGAGCACUUACGUAAAUGUAUAGGGAAAAAGAAAUAAUAAGUGUGCCUAGAGAGAGAAGUAAAUAAGUUUAUGACAGAAGUUAGGGUAAUUAGGAAAUUUCUCUUGAUUCUUUAUAUCUCUCAUGAUUGUGCAUAUAUCUUCUAAAUAAAAUCGCCAUUUAAAUUUAUAUAUAGUUGAUGGAUUAUAAUUAAUUAUCUCAUCACUUGAGAUAGUCAUGUGGUAAAGCUUACAAAUAAACUCAUGUAUUAUUCACUUUNNNNNNNNNNNNNNNNNNNNNNNNNNNNNNNNNNNNNNNNNNNNNNNNNNNNNNNNNNNNNNNNNNNNNNNNNNNNNNNNNNNNNNNNNNNNNNNNNNNNUGCCACGUCAACGUGCAAAACGACGCCGUUUUGGACCAAAUUCGCCGGAAAAUGGCAACGUCAGCCAUUUGCCCGGAUUUUCGCCGAAGUGGCACUUAAGUAUCCCAUUUUACUCCGAUAUUAGCACUUAAGUGUACCAUUUUAAAGUUUUGGCACUUAAGUGUCCCUUCGUGUCAAGUUAUGACACUCCAGGUAUCCCAAUCUCCUAGGAAAUCCAAACAGAUCAGUUUGAGUUAGUGGAAGUGAUAAGCCAUCUUACAGAUCAGCAAAUGCGCGCACAAAUCAGAGCUGGGAGAAUGCUAUUGCUGGUCAAAGAAGCUGGGAAAUCAGGCCUUUGCUUUGUGAAGCCCACGACCUUUUAGCCGAAAUUCGGCCCAUCAAAAGAGAUGCGAAUGGAGUUGCUGACUAGAUUGUGAAAGCCCAGAGAAACAACAUUUUACCAAACAACUGGGUCCAAUAUCCCCUAUAGAGUCUCUUGGACAUUUUAUGUUCGGAUGUAGCUCAUCUAAAAUAUUAUUAAUGAAAUCUACGUAUGUUUUUCGAUCAAAAAUAAAAAAAAGAAGUUGUAUGCGAGAACUAUCAACGUUGGGGUUUUCCACUUGGGGAUCUGCCCUAGGUGUACAUACAUCAGUUGCGUGAUCCAUUUCAACUAUAAUUACUUGAUGGAUUUUGUUAAUGAGUGCCAAGAGUUAGGGCUAUAAAAAAAGACCAUCGAAAUUUGAACCAAACUAAAUUAAUUAGAAAAAAAAUUGAGGCUUCUGACUAUUCGAUUUUGUUUCGGAUCAUAACCCUGAACUAACCCGGACACAUGAUAGUAAUUGCUUGUUCUAGGUUGAUGCCAUCAAUUAUUUCUCAUGAGUUAUCCACCGUCGCUAACACUAUCCAUCUCACCUCCCUCGAUGGGCUUGUCCCUCCAUAGAUCGACUCGUGCCUCUCCAUCACUUCCUCUCUAUAAACAUCAAUUCCUGCAGCCUUCAUCAGCGAUCUGGGCAAGGAUGACCUUCAAUUGAGGGGAAGCUAUAGAAUCGCAUCAUUUUGAUUAAAUCCAUUUUUUAAAAAUUUCGUCUUCAAUUAUUCCAUUUCGAGCUUCUAUUUCUUCUGCUUUCUCUUAUCCACGAAUUUGUCAGCAAUCGCACUCAUGAUCUUAAUCAAUGUUGUACCAUUUUCUUCUUCAUCGAAUUGUGCUAUGUACAAUUACUGCAAGAUUUUACUGAAUUAUUAAAAAAAAAAAGGGUAAUUAGGUUAACUUUCCCAUCCAGAUAUGUACCUUGAGAUGAUCAGUGUGUUUCAUUCAUUUUAAUUCAAUUUAUUUUUCAGCAGAUGACAAAAAAAUUGAAAGUUCUAGAUUUAACGGGCUGUACAAAGUUGACGAGGACACCCGACUUCUCUGACUUCGUGUCUUUGGAGGUCUUAGUACUUGCUAGGUGUGUCAAGUUGAUCACAAUCGACAGCUCCAUCGGUAAGCUUGAACGUCUGGAAACUUUGAAUAUUGAGGGGUUUACGUAUAUAUGGAAGCUGCCCGCUCUGCCUUAUUUGACCCGGAUUGUCGGGCUUCCGCGGGGGCGACUAUUGUGGUCCAUAAUGAACGCCGGGGCACUGCCCAGACGCCGCGACGGUGGCUGGCAGGUGUUGUAUUCGCGCGCGUCUGCCUCCAGCUCCUACAAGUGGGACUCCUCCCAACCAUUAAAAGAAAAAAAAAAAAAGUUGUUCAGUGUCAAGUCUGGAGGCACUCGACAAUCUGAAAUUUCGGUCAAACACUACAUUCGAAGUGGACCCUAAAAUCUGUUAUAACUUCCAGAGUCUAUUGCCAGAUAGGAGAGCCAAAUUCCACCCAUCUCCCGGGCCAUUAGUGUUCUUUAUGGAAUUAUUAUGUAUAUUUCAUCGUAUAAUAUGACAUUUUCAGAUGCAAAAUUUCGAUUCGUAAAUGAAUGGCUCUUUUUUUGUGGCUAAAUUUUAGAAGAUGGGAAAUAUAUAUGAGAGGAAUAUUUCGUCAACCGCUGUGCAAAUUAUUAUCCAUUUUAGGACCCCAAAAACGACAAAUGUCAUGAUCCCUUUUUUUUUUUCAUUUCAGAUUAAAAGAUUUAUACUUCAUGCAGUAUGGUUACGUUAUAAUUUUUCCCCAAAAUUCAUUUGCACCACAUUUCAAUAAUCAGUUGAUGUUUUGUAGGGUUCUUGUUUGAACUAUUUUUAGAUGGAUUAUCCAUGUUGUCAAGGAUACCUUUUAACCAGUAGAAGAGAGCACUUACGUAAGUGCAUAGGGAUAACAAAUAAUAAGUGUGCCUAGAGAGAGAAGUAAAUUAGUUUAGGAGAGAAGUUGGAGAUAAUUAGUAUAUUUUCUUCGAUUUUUUUUUUUUAAUCUUUAUCAUGAUUGUACAUAUAUCUAAGAGGUAUAAUUGCCCUUUAGUUGUAUAUAUCGUUGAUGGAUCAUAAUUGAUUAUCUCCUAAUAUAAUUAUGUUAUAAAAUCUAUAGAUAAACUCAUGUAUUUUUCAUUUUGGUUUAAUGAAACAUAGAGAAAUAUACAAAAAUUACACAAUUCUCUCUUCUAUAUUUUUUUUAUUUAGAGAAAAUAAAUAAUUAUUUUUUUAUGCUAACCCAUAAUUAUCUUGACUAUUUUAAAUUACAUAUUUGUGGAUUUUGUUAUAUCAUGUCGGUGUGAUAUAUCUUAAAAAGAACAUGAACAUGCUUAUAUUAUAGAUAAACUCAAUUGCUGACAUGGCGGUUGGCAACUGAUGGAUAUUUCCUCACCAGGAGCAGGGCUGGUCUGGUCAGAGGAGCGUUUUGACUUGGUUUGCAUACUUUUCUGUCUAUCCUCUCUUUCACGGAAAUUCACCUCAUCCUCUCUGCGUUCUUGGUAUUUCCUUCAUAUUGAGAGCGAUCCAGAGCCCAUAAACGCCUGUCCUUGAGAAGCAUUAGUCGAUCUUCUUUCACUAAAUCCUGUCGCAGUUAGCUCUGUUUACACGCUUUGGUUCAAGCGUACCAGUGAACGCAGUGGAGGAUCUGCCGCAUAUCGGACACCACCGAGAUCUACGUGAUCGCACGAGCGUGGGGUUUCAAAUGCCGGUGCUUUCGGGAUUUGUUGGUGAUUGCAGCUCUGAGCAGGUUUGGCCGCAAAUGGGAUUGAUUGCAGCCGUUGCUUUAAUCACCAUCAUCUUGGCCUCGAUGCUGUGCGUUCCGUAAGUGCUCUCUGUUCGGCUUAUUUUCCAAAGCUUGUUUGAUGGGUUCCUGUUUUGAAGUCUCCUUAAAGGCUUGAACUCGGAUUACGAAUAAUUGGCAGGGUCCUGAGACAACUGACGAGAGUGAAGAAAAGCCGGAGGAGCUCAGAGGCAUCGCUGAGCGUGGAAGAUGUACCGCCAGGAUAUGAGUACGAGGUUUUCUUGAGUUUCAGGGGAUCAGACACACGCAAUAACUUCACUGAUUGCCUUUACCGUAGAUUGAGAAAUGCUGGAGUCCAUGUCUUCCUAGACAACGAAGAACUCCGAGUUGGCAAAGAAAUCGGUGGUGAGCUUUUGAAAGCGCUUGACAAGUCUCAGAUCUACAUACCCAUCUUCUCCCAGAACUAUGCCACCAGUUCGUGGUGUCUCCGCGAGGUAGCGCACAUGGUCGAAUGCACCUCAAAAUCAAAUGGGAAGAAAGAGAUACUCCCCAUCUUCUAUGACGUGUCCCCCGAUGAUGUUAAGCUCAAAACCAAGUUAUACAGGAAAGCCAUACCGAGGCACAAGAAAAAAUUCGGCUCCGAUGCAUUGAAGUGGUGGGAGGAGGCUCUUGUGAAGGUUGCACAUCUAAAGGGGUGGAAUCUUAAAGGGAAAGGGUAAAUUUCCUCAACCUUUUGGUUAUCAUUAAUAAGCGCAAUAUUUACACUCCUCAUUUGAAGAAACUCUGCUAUCCCAAAAUUCAAGAGUUGAAGAAUUUUUUCUUUUGAAAUUUGCCCAUACAAAUUAUUUUGGAUCCGGCAAAACAACCAAAGGCAAAGAAAAUGACGAUGAGAGAAGAAAUAUACACUCGGCAGUGAGGACUCACUCAAGGAAAAGGAAAGAAUAGGGCAAAAAAAAGAUCCAAUUUGAUCCAAUUUAUAAACAAAUUCAGAUGACUCUUACUUGAAUGAACUAUACCCAUCAUGUUUCAUUGUUUGCACUUAGAAAACAAUGAAACAGUUUCACCUAUCAUGAUUCCGUUCUGCUUCUUUCGAUUUUGCUUGAGACCCCGAAUUUAUUUUGGUUUUAUCUCAGAUUCCACUCCUAUACGAACACAAUCCUGUAAAUUUAGCUCAAUAAUACACUCACUUUGGAUUUCAUGUCACUGUAUAUUGGUUAGUCGAUGCAAGCAAUAUGCAGAAAAUAUUACCUUACCAAGUUUUGUGAAUCUUACUUUGUCCAUUCCAUAAAGAAUAAGAUCUCCUUCACAUGUAUCGGCUCCUGUGUUAUCUUAAGCAUCUGCAAUACAUCAAAUUAAGCGACAUUCCAUGAUAUCUCAACACACGUAUUAACUGAAUGGAAAUAGUUAACUUAUUUUACCAUAUGGUCCCAAAUGACCCAGAGAUUAUCAUAUUUCGAAGAAAUGUAUAUCGUUUUUUUUUUCAUGUCAUUGACGAAAACAAAAAUUUCCUGUUUUGCUGCAGCCAUGGCGAACUAAUUGAAUUGGUUGUUGGAGAGGUAUUGUGUAAGCUUAACGCCAGAAACGUGGAUGUGCCUGAAUAUUGGGUUGAAGAUCAUCAUCAAAUAGAAGACAUACAAGAAAAGUUGGAAGUUGACUCUGAUGAUGUACGUUUCCUUGGUAUUCAUGGAAUAGGUGGCAUUGGUAAAACAGUCCUGGCAAAGGUUGUGUUCAACAAAAUAUUUUCUCAUUUUGAAGGUGUUUGUUUCCUCAACGACGUUCGAGAAUCAUCGCAACAUGGUCUUAUAAACGUGCAGAAAAAGUUAUUAGCAAGUUUUGUGGGUCCCGUAAUUGCUGAUCUUAUCAAAGACGUUGGAGAUGGGAUGAAAUCGAUCAAGAGAGUAUGUCAUACUCAAAAAGUCCUUAUUGUUCUAGAUGAUUUAGAUAAGCAAGAGCAACUCAAAAAGCUAGCUGGAAAAUCAGAUUGGUUUGGUUUAGGCAGUAGGAUCAUCUUCACCACUAGGAACUUAGAUGUCUUGAUGACUCAAGUGGAACCAUCCGAUGAAGAGGUCCUAAAUCAACCCAAGGGAAUUUUGGCUUAUGAAGCUCAUGCAAUGGAAUACGGUCGAGCACUUCAAUUGUUUUGUAAGCACGCAUUCAGGAGAGACUCUCCCCUAGAAGGAUAUGAUAAUCUUACAGGGAAAAUUGUUCGUAGAGUGGGUAUGCUUCCUUUGGCUGUUGAGGUCAUAGGUUCAUUCCUUUAUUGCCAGAGUUUUGCCUUGGGGAAACAUUUUGAUAACCGAAAGCUAUGGGAAGGUAUGUUGAAACAGUUAGAUGAUGGUCCUUUUAAGGAUGUUCAAGAUGCAUUAAUGAUCAGUUAUGAAGGAUUGGAGAAUAAGCAAAAAGAAGUAUUUCUUGAUAUUGCUUGUCUUUUCACCAACGAGGGACCAAACAUACCCAAUUAUCAUGUGGGAUAACUGUAAUUACCAUCCUCACCUUGCAAUUGGAGUCCUCUACCAACGGUCCUUAAUAAAAAUUGGACAUGACAAUAAGUUUUGGAUGCAUGACCAAGUUCGAGAUCUAGGAAGGCACAUCAUGCGUGAAGAAUAUCCUCGCAAAUUUAGUAGGGUGUGGAUUUAUAAUGAUGCUACAGAACUACUGGGGAGAAAACAGGUAAAUUGGAAGAGUAUGUCACACAAUUUCCUUUUUGGAGGAGAAAUUUGUUGAAUUUGUUCUUUUUACUUUAUAGUUGGCUUUAUUCAACUUUCUAUUUGUCUUGUGAGUGAGAUAGCUCUCUCUCAAACAUAUGGGUCAAAAGGUCUUGUAAAUUGUUGGAGAGAGAUAGACCGAUUGCCUGAUAGUUAGCUUCGUUUUCUAGAUUCUGUAGAAUAAAAAAUAGUUUUUUGGAAAUUCUGGAACCACAUAGUGCUCUUUCGAAUGGAAGCUGACAAUUUUCGUUAAUGGUGGUAAAUGAAAACGUGUAACUCUACUUGUUGGGAAUAGGCAUGUGCCAAGGUAGGUUCCCUAUUGCAGAAAUUGUUUACUAGUGUUCACAUGCUUCGUUUCUUUAUAGUUUUGUAAGAGUGCUGAGUAUUGUGCUCUCAAUUGAUCUAGACUUCUCUGUUGGCAGACAAAUCAAGAUGUAGAAGUACUAAGCCUGACUUCUGAUGGCUGCAGCCGGGAUAUUGUACCAGAAGAAUUAGCUGCUCUACCAAAUCUAAGGUUCCUUCGAGUUAAAGGCAUCGAAUUUAUUGGCAACUUCGAGAAUCUUGUUUUGAAACUAUGUUGGCUUUCUUGGGAAGUGAUGCAUAAUAAAUGUUGUGCGAAGAAUAUUCAUUUUGUUAGCUUAGUCGUGCUAGACCUUUCAGGGAGCAAUAUCGAAGACAAUUGGGAUGGAUGGAGACAAUUCCAGGUAUGCCUUUUGCUAUUCAUCGUACCAAGAGACCAAGAAGAGCAUUGUUUGGAUAGAGAAUCCACAUCUUCUUUCUAUAUUCACUGACCAUUCAUGCACUAUAUAUAUUGGUUUCACGCUUUUCUGAUCUCACGCGAAUUUGUGAACAGAAAUUAUUUCACGAAAGUAACACCUAGCAUUGACAACAACCGGCUUAAUGCAUUUAAAAAAAAAAAGAGAGGAAGCUAUAGAAUGCCAUCAUUUUGAUAAAAUUGUAUGUCUUAUUGUAUGACUUCCCAAUCAUCUUGACCAAGUAAACCCAUUUAUUGAUAAAUUUCUACUUGAAUGUUCCCAUUUCGAACUUUUAUUUAUUCUGCUUUCUCUUUUUCCACUCUUUUUCUACAUACAUGUCAGUGAUUGUACUCAUGAUCUGAUUCAAUCUUUUACUAUUAUUCUUCAUCAAAUUGUGCUAUGUGCAAUUACUGCAAGAUUUUGCUGAAUUAUUAAAAAAAAAAGAGUAAUUAUGUUAACUUUCUCAUUCAGAUAUGUACCCGGGGAUGAUCGAUGCAAUUAUUUCAUUUUAAUUCAAUUUCUUUUCUGGCAGAUGACAAAGAAUUUGAAAGUUUUGAAUUUAACGAGGUGCAAGAAACUGACGAGGACACCUGACUUCUCUAAAUUUGUGUCUUUGGAGGUGUUAAUACUUUCCGGUUGUGUCAUGUUGAUCACGAUUGACCAUUCCGUCAGUAAGCUCAAUCUCCUGAAAACUUUGAAUAUCAAGGGAUGUAAGUGUCUCGAGCAGGUGCCCAUUCUGCAUUAUUCGACGCAAAUUGUCAGGGACCGGAUUCGGGACCGGGUUUUGCACCGGUUUUGCCGGGUUCUGGUCCAAGAGCGCUUGAGAAAAAGUCUUCUUGUACACAAAGCUGCAUCGGAAUUUAUCGAAACAUAUCGUGGCCCAUGACCUUAUAGGACAACUCAAAACUCCCUCUCUAGGUGAUGUGGGACAAGAGAUGUGCCCCUCCCUGCGCACAUCCAAGGACCGAGGCGUAGAUGCACCACCACCCCUCCUCCCCACGUAUCGCCACUUGGGCCGUCACACAUCCAGCUCCUCCAACCGAAGCCAAAAGGCAAAACAAAAGGAAGGGUGCUUCUGGGGGCACUUUGACAAUCUGAAAUUUUGGUCAAAAAUUACAGUAGAAGUGCAGAUUCCACCCAUCUCUCGGGCCAUUAGUGUUCUUCAUGGGAAUUAUUAUGUAUGUUUGAUUGUAUAAUGUGACAUCUUCAGAUGCCAAUUUCGAUUCAUAAAAGAAAAGCUCUCUUUUGUGGCUAAAUUUUAGAAAAGCUCUCUUAUGCGAGAGGAAUAUUUCAUUGACCACAGUGCAAAUUAUUAUCUAUUUUAGGAUGCCAAUUUCGAUUCAUAAAAGAAAAGCUCUCUUUUGUGGCUAAAUUUUAGAAAAGCUCUCUUCAUUGACCACAGUGCAAAUUAUUAUCUAUUUUAGGACCCCUGUGACAUCGUGACUUUCAACCCCAUCUUGAUACUAUGAAAUUGACAUUUUGUUGACGUGCCUAUGGCCCUUUUUCUCGGAGCUGAUCACUCUCGAGUUAACUGGUUUAUUAAGUGAAGCCGUUAAGGGAUAUAAAUGCGACAAACUUGAAAAUUCAAUCAGAAAUCAACUGUUCAACCGUGAUAAUCGGUAAAGGUCAAUAUGACACCAUUAUAAGUGAUUAGUGAUCGAAUAUAGAUCGAUUCGACAGAAUCACGUAAUUGAAUUGUUGAUUACAAAAUCCGCAUCGAACAGCACUAACCCAAUUUUUUGUUGAUUCGAUACCAGUGUCCAUAAUUGAAAUAUUGAGAUUUUUACGAGAAUCGAAAGUUGCCAACGAGUCGAAAAUACACAAACGUGGAUCGAAAAUUAUCGACCACGGUUCAGAUGCGAUAAAAUCCCUAAAAAUUACUCGAUAAGUUAGAUUGCGCUAAAAUCGCGUCCGAUCAAUUUUAACCAUGAAAUUGAAUUUGGUUUCGGGAAUUGGACAUUCGAGCGCAUCACGAUUCAUUUAUAGGACCUCGUCUAAUUUUUCGGGGGAAAUUCUGUCGAGUCCGGGAUUUUGCGGAAAAAUCGAUUUCGGACAAAUCAAAAAUAGAAUAGAAAUUCGGAUCAAGAGGGAAAUUUGAUUAUUUGGCCCUCAAAAUGGUUUGUUUUGUGAAGAAUUACAGGAAAAUAGCCAUUGGUUGGCAAGACGACUUUGGUGGCCAAGGACUUUAGGGGCAUGUAACGAUGAAAUUGAUAUUUGGCCUUGACUUCUUUCCCCCCAUCUCUCUCUCUUUCCCUCUCUCCCUCUUGUGCGUGCCUUCCCCCUUGCUGCCGACUUCAUUCUUCCUGCCCACGUCCCUUUUUCUCCUCACCUUCUUCAUCCCAUUUCCCCAUUCUCCUCUGCACCUCAGCUCCUCCAUUUCCCCUCCAUUCUGCUGCCCCACGUUUCCCUCCAUCAUCAUUCGCACGCCCACACAUCACCACACGCCUCCACCACCACAACGCCACUUCACCCCCAUCACCUCCCUUUCCAUGGUCGCUGCUGCCACACCACACGCCCAACAACAUCUAACGUCUAGCUUCUCACGCCUCAUCAGCCGAGCAGCUCCUCACACCGACGUUUCACCACCAACAAUCAUUGUCCAGCAACCACGUCCCGACCAGCAGCACCACUCGCCAACCUCAGCUCGUGUCCAGCACCUCAGCCGACCCAAACAACGGCCAGCAAGCUUAGCCAAGCAGAACCGCCUACCAGCCAAGCCGUGGGCCUUGUAGGGCUUUUCAGCCUCGGCCAAGCCUUCGUUGGAGACUAGGGGUGCACAUGACAACACUUCUUGGCUGGGAAAAAGUUUUUUUUUUUUUUUAAGAAAUAGUUCUUUUAUAUUUAUAUUCCGGGGAACAAUUUCUGAGUAAAAAAACCAAUUUGGUAACUACACAAAAUUUCUAUUCUUGGAAUAGAAAAAAAAAUAGAAAUGCGUUUGGUAACGCAACAAUUUCUUUUUUGUAUUUAUUCAUUUUUUAUUCUUGCUCACAGAUUGUCAACCGUCAACCGCGGCCACCUGCCGCCCGCCGCCGCCACUCGUCACCGGCCGCCUGUUGCCGCCGCACGACCGCUGGCUGCCAACCGUCACCGCCGACCGCCACCCCACAGCCCAUCAGCCGCCAACGCCGCUGCCGGCCGCCAUCACUUACCAUGCGUAGCCUAGGUAGUUUCGAGAUCUCGCCAUCGUCGCACUGCCAUUGGUGCGAACCCGUUUAUCGCUAAUCCGGUAAGUUUACACCCUAAUCGUUGAUUAGAUUGUUAAUUGCACUUAGAAAGUUAGAUUAAUGUUAAUUAGCUUAGUUAAAUUACUACUAAGAAGGAUUAGUGCUAAGAAUGAUUAAUGCUAAGUAAGUUGUAUUGACAUCUAAAUUUUGUUAUUUUAUUUAGGAUUUAAUCGUGUUGACACCUAAAUUUUUGCAUAAUUUUUGGGUUAAUUUUUGCUAAAAUAAAAAAAAAAAAUCACAUGGCAUAUAGUUUAGGAACGUUUAUGUUAUUUUUGUUUUAUUUUAUUUUAUUUUUAGACACCGGUGANNNNNNNNNNNNNNNNNNNNNNNNNNNNNNNNNNNNNNNNNNNNNNNNNNNNNNNNNNNNNNNNNNNNNNNNNNNNNNNNNNNNNNNNNNNNNNNNNNNNNNNNNNNNNNNNNNNNNNNNNNNNNNNNNNNNNNNNNNNNNNNNNNNNNNNNNNNNNNNNNNNNNNNNNNNNNNNNNNNNNNNNNNNNNNNNNNNNNNNNNNNNNNNNNNNNNNNNNNNNNNNNNNNNNNNNNNNNNNNNNNNNNNNNNNNNNNNNNNNNNNNNNNNNNNNNNNNNNNNNNNNNNNNNNNNNNNNNNNNNNNNNNNNNNNNNNNNNNNNNNNNNNNNNNNNNNNNNNNNNNNNNNNNNNNNNNNNNNNNNNNNNNNNNNNNNNNNNNNNNNNNNNNNNNNNNNNNNNCGAUGUGGCUGGUGGCGGCGAUGGCAGCGCUGGUGGGGAGGCGGCUCACUUGAGGUCGUAGAUGCAAAUGCAUCGAAAAUGGCAAAAUCAUGGGGAGGUGGCUUGAGCUGUUGCUAAUGGUGGUGCUGGUGAUGGUGGGGAGGUGACUUGUUUGAAAUCGCACGACCUCAAGCGACGCUACCUGGGUCGCAUGACCCAAGUGACUCCUGAGGUCGUGCGACCUCAGGCGAGGCUUCUUGAUAGCCAGAUUUGGCCCCCCGGUGGCCAAAUCAAGCCGGCUAAGCUCCGCCGGCUAAGCUUCACCUCUGGAGUAACAAGUCCAAGAAAGAAGACGAUGAAUAGUAUUUUUUAGGGUAAAAGAGGAAAACACGAUUAUCAAUGAAAGCAAUAUUAUAAAUUUAAAAAAAAAUCAUUAAACUCUUGCUUAGCAUUCUGAAAAUGCUGAAAGUUCAAAAUAGGUUCACACCUACUUUAGACUUCCAGCUUUCCAAAUACUAUCAUUUAGCCAAUGGGGCUUCAAAAUGCUAAACUAAACACCUAAUAUUUUUCCCAAUGGGUUUUGGUGGCUCAAAACCCUUCGGGAAUGCUGAACUAAACGGGGUUUGAAAAUAGUGCAUGGAAAAAAACUAAAUGAGAAAAAGAAGACCAAUUGUUUUUUUUUUUAAUUUCGAUUGCUAAAUUAAGUUCCCUGAUAAAAAGAAAAAAGAAAAAGCCAGUUCUGAGUUUUUUUUUUUUUUAGAGUACUUUCAAUUCAAUGAGCUUCCCUGCUUUUGAGUUUUUUUUUAACACUUUCAAACUAAAUUAUGAAACUUAACAUAUGUUUUAUCUCUUCCUAAUGAAAAGGAAAAUAGAAAGACAAACCCAAUUUUUUUUUUCUAAUUUGAUUACCUAAUUAGAUUUCCUAUUUCUGAAUUCAUUUUAUGUAUAUUCAACUCAAUUAUGAAUUUCAACAAAAAAAUUCAAUUAUGAAAUUUCAAUAUCUAUCAUAACUCAACCUCACAACUUUUCUUAAUUUACUUGUCAAAGGACCCAAGUUGGAAAACUCACCCAUUUCAUAACAUAAGAAAUAAAUUGCAGGGUACUCUCCCCCACAAACAGUUGCCAUCAGUCACCGCUUGGAAGGAAACCCUUCCUUUCAUCUAAAGAUUCUUUCUUAAACUUUUCAAUUUAAAAUGGACAGUUGUAUAAUACCAAAAUCAUUCUCACCUAUUAUCUACUUCACCUUUGCACCAUUUGCUUUUAAAACCAUCACUUUGUAUUUUCACUAUUAUUAAGCUAUACAUUAACACUUGGCAUAGAGAGUAAGAAUUGAUCUGGAGACACAAAGGGGUUGAAUCCAAUUAUGUUGAAGAUUGUGGUCGGACGUGGUGCACUACUAGUGGCCAAUUAAGGCGUGUCACGCCCCGAUCCUCGGGGACGCGCUCAUCCUUUUAUGUGGUCGAUUUUAAUGUGCGAUAUCCCAGAACUAAGUAUCACUGACCCUAUCUUCUUAAUUAUGCAUGCGGAAGCAGUUAUAAAUCCCCAGACAAUAAAACAAUGUCAUAGAAAAGCAUACCAUAUUUUUCAUAUUGAAAUUCACAACCACACUUUUAUUAACAGCACAACUCAUAGUAUAUUUACAAUACUAUUUACAGCAAACAAGUCUCACACCUAUCUACACUAAGACAGGGUUCACAAAAGGGAUGGGAUCUCAAUCCACAUCCGGGUUGUACUCAAUAUCCCUCUUUAGAUCAUUUUCUUCUUCUUCAAAAAUCUUUCUCCUCCUCAGGUUCCUCUUCCUUGGCUCUUUCUCAGGAUCCAAAAAUGGUUAUUCAAUAACUAAUGAGACCACGUCUCAACGAGUUCUACCCCCUAAAACCCUCUUAGUAAGAAAAUACGCCCUAAGGGCUGCCUAAGCACAUCAUGGGUCAGAGGGCUUACCUUGGCCUCAGUUUCCUUCCUGCAAGUCAGUUCAAAUAAUAAAUACUGACAAUCAUAGCAUCCAAUCAAUCAGAUCGACUUAACGAUUAAUCGACUCAGUCGAUUACAUGUCAUCAAGACCAUCACAUGGUCAUCCUAACUCUUCAUUCUUGACUCUGACUCACAGCCCUAUAGGCAUAAUUUAUUUUUAGUGGAAUCACGGUCCCACUCGGCAAAUUUAGACUUAGUGGAAUCACGACCCCACCUAGCAAUUUUCUCAACUUGGUGGCAUCACGGCCCUACCUGGCAAAUUUUCUAGACUUGGUGGCAUCACGGCCUCACCUAGCAAUUUUUAAUCCAACUCACAACCUCACACGGUUACUUUCCCUUCAAAUACCGACAUUUUCCAAUUUUGGGAUAAAUUCUCAUAUUCACCAAUUUCACUCAAAUUUCACAAUCUAAUACUCGAAUAAAUAAACAUAAAGCACCAUUGGAAUCAACAAAAAAUUGCAGUCGUUAGCUAUCCCAACCUAAUUUCCAGAAAUAAAUAAAUAAUUAAAUAAUUACGGAAAAUAUUAAAUAAAUGCAAUAAAUCCAACUUAGGCCCGUUAUAGCCUAAUUGGAAGCCGAUACAAGCUCGGAAAAAUUACUGAGACUUGCUCAAUAAAUACCAGGACCUAUUUCCUUACUAUCUACACUAUCCAAUUGCCUAAUAUGCAUCAAUAAGUCUCUAAUUUAAUUACUCUAAUCUCAUCUAUCCACAUAAUUACACUUAAUUAAAUCUAAUCAACCCCUAAGCAUAAUUCACCGACUAAUAAGGGAUUAGUGAGCAAAACUCACUUGAUAAAAGCGAAGGCCGAGACACCGCGAUGGCGACGCGACAGCGACCGAAAUCGGGCUUUCGACGACACCGGCGGGCUUGGAUCGGGCCUUAAACUUGGGCCCAAAAAAUCUCAGCCCAAUUGAGAUUUGUUCUUGCACUAGAAUGGGCUUGCUCUUAGGCUUGGGCCCGCUGAAACUGGACUGAACUAAACGGGUUUCGCUGAACUGGGCUGAAAAAUUGCUGGACUGAUGGGCUCGUGAGAUUUGCUGGGCCAAAGAAACUGUUCACUUGGGCUUCGGGCUGAACAGAAUACUGGACUGGCUUGCUAGGCUUGCGGGCUUCAUCUGGGCUGAGCUGCUGGAGGAGAUGGAUUGCUGGGCCCGAGUAAAGAAGUAGCAAGGGCUGCUGGACCUCUCGAAGGCUGCUGGGCCGAGAAGUUGCUGGUGUGGGGUUGGGCUGCGGACAAACGAAGGAAACGGUUGGGCUCGCGGAACUAAAACUCUGCUGGACCGAAUUCAAGCAAUCCGCGGGCGUGAAGACAGGAGGUGGUCAACAACGGAGCUGCUGGUUGACUACACACACGGAAGACUCGAGGAACAGCUGAGCGUUGACCUCGUGAAAGAAGGCUACCGCUUCGGUGACUCUGCUGGUGGCUGAACGAGCAAGCAGUAGCCUCGGUGGAAGACGUGGCUUCUGUUGGUGACUUCGCUGGUUUGGUGAGACGUUGCAGCUAGCGUCGUUGGCUUCAAUCGGUGGUAGGAGAUGAAGACACGAGCUGGCAGCGAAGGAGGAAAUGAAGCAGCUUCGUUGGUGAUCUUCAACGCCGGUUUGUUGACCGACAAGGAGAAGACAGUUGGAGUUGAUUCUGUGGAGCUGGGCCGAAGACACACACACGAACCAGUUGAUCGAAGGAGGACGCACGCGGGGCAACUUCGGCUGACUGAGCUGUAAGAAAUUCACUCGGCAAGAUGGGGACGUGGACUGUGGCUACUUGAGCAGAAAACUCGUUGGAUGAUGGAGUUCGGACGCAUGGGCGUGAGAUAGAGAGAGAAAUGGGGCGCGUGAGGUGAGCGAAUGCAGGGGAAAUGAAGGCUUCCGCGGAGGUGCUCGCUGGAUUUGCUCGAAUCAGGGGGGAAAGAAUGAACCGGAUGAAGUGUGCUGGAAGCUAAGGACGAGGGCCAAAGUCAUCAUUCGUAUCCCUUCCAUUAAACUCUUGUCCCCUCUAAUACUUUCUUGUUCUAAUUUCCCACAAAAACAUUCAUAUUAAAGCCAAAAUUCCAGCCCCUUGCCAAAACCGAAUUUCACCAUUUUAGAUUUAAUUUCAUUACUCAAAUUUUCCAAAUUGAGGUCCGAUUUUGAUGAGGAAAAAUCUGGAGCAAUUUUCUAUAAAUCUCUAACACUCACGGACUCAAUUUAAAAGUCUCAAUUUCCAUUGAUUUAGCCCAUCUGAAUUUCUGCUAAUUUUCCGUAACAUUCGAACUGAUUUUCCGUAAAAAUCUCGGAAUCUUUUAAAAAUCUUCUGAGACUGAGUUGACGUUCUUAGAAUUGAUCGUGACACCACAAAAAUUUCGAUUUCUGAAAUCAGACUCGAAUUCACGGUUAAUUUUCAUUCGACGCAUUUUUAGCGUGACCUAGGCUACCGAUUAACCUUCAGAACUUUUCAAUGCAAAUGACCCAUGGUCGAUUUUCUUCGAGUCACAAUGAACCCACUCGACUUAAUGACGACUAUCGAUUGUCGUGAAAAUCUCAAUGAUUCAAAUACGGACACACCAAAACAAUAAGAAAAUCAAUCUAGGGCCGGUCGACGAGAAUUUUCUAGUUUAGUGAGGUCACCCACGAUUAACCACACAUUUCUGUCGAACCAGUCUAUCUCUGAUUUCAAAUCGAUUUUUAACUGUGCCGUAAUGGUUUUUAAAGAUGGACACGGUCGAGAAGCCGAUUCUUGAUCAAGUUCUCAAGUCUAUUGCCUUAAAAUUCCUUAAUAAUUUCCCCAGAUAGUUUAAUUAUCUCGAAAGUGAUCAACUCUGAGAAUAACCCUAUAUGUGUGUUAAUGAAAUGCCCGAUUUAUUCUAUAGAAGACAAGGUUGAAAAAUCUGGAUGUCACAAGGCAGGUAGAGAAAUACUGAGAAAAGAAUGUCAUGAGUAUCAUAAUAAUUGUAUGAUGCUCCUUCAGUGUCGUAACUUUUUUUUUUAACCACUUAAGUUCCACAUAAAAAAAAAAAUCAAUUCAUUUCAGUGCUUCUAGCAGUAUAUUCCAGCCAUUCGUCUACAUGACUUUUUUUUUAUGAUGAGUUCUUAUGUAAGAUGUGGCAUAUCUAAUAAGGGAUCCAUUCGUUUCGCAGAAAAUAUCAUGUUUCCGAAAAACAUUUUCCUAGAAGUUAUUUUCCAGGAAAAUGACUAUUUUCUGGUGUUCGGCCGAAACUUAAACUUUGAGUGGAAAAUAUUUUCUACCGUUCAUUAGCUAAUUUAAUUGUGUGGGAAAAAUUAUCAAAAAUUGAAUAUUAAUAUUUUUAAUUAACCAAAAAAUUAGUUUUAUUUUUUAUAUUUUUAAAUGAAUUUUUAAUUAUUUGUAUUUUUAAAAAAUAUAAAAUUUUCUUUUUCUUUUAUUUUUAUUUUUAUUUUUUCCUUUUUCUUUUCCUUCCUCCUUCCUCCUCUUUCUUCCUCCUGCUUCCUCCGCUACCGCAUGCUUGACAAUGGCCGGCUACCUGGCAGCCAACCAAGACCCAGUCAUCAAAUCCAGCGAGCUCGAGGCUCGGCUGAUCUCACCCAAGCUCGCCAAAGUUUUGCCAAGCUUUGGCGAGCCACAAGCUCGCCGAAUCUGGUGGCGGAGCUCAAGCUCCCCUGGAUCGGGACCUCGAGCUCUGUUGGCGAGCUCGUGGCUCGCCAGAGCCCAACGAACCUCUGGUGAGCUCGAGCAAGGCCCGAGCCCUACCUAGCUCGCCAGAUUUGGCGAGCUGCAAGCUUUGCUCUAGGCCAGCGAGAGCUCUGCCUCGCCCGAUCUAGCGAGGCUUGAGCUUGGCUUCGCUAGAUCAGGCUAAGCGACGCCUCGUCAGCUUGGGGCGAGGCUCGAGCUAGCUUGCGGUCGGUCGUCGGUCGCCGCCAUGGCUGGCAACUGGCCAAAGCCAAAGAAGAAGAUGAAAAGGAAAUAAAGAAAAGAAAAGAAAAGAAAAUUAAAAACUCGAUUUUUUAAAACAAAAGAAAAAAAGAAAAAGAAAGCAUAAAAAUAAAAUGAAAAUAUAUUGGUAAAAAGAAGCAAGAUGGAAGAAGCUAUGGAAAACAUUUUCCUCACUUUUAAAAGUUGUUUUCUUUUCAAUGAUGGAAAAUAUCUUCUUUGACUAGUUCAUUUUCCGUGAAAUGAACGGUGGAAAAUCCAAAAAAUGUUUUCCCGGAAGUCAUUUUCCGUUAAAUGAACGGACUCUUAAAGUACAACACAGGCAAAGGACGAGAUGACGUGGCGCUUGUGACUAAAACAAGGCAGCUUCCUCCAAGGAGAAAAAGUUGAGGAACGCGUUCAAAAAGCUCUCAGUUGGGAUAAAAAGACAAGUGAUGUGAGUGGAGGAUUUCGGAGCGGAGCACGAAUGAACGGAGGAAAAAAAGCAUAAGAGAUAAUACGCGUAAGAUGGAAGAAGUUAUGGAAAACAUUUUCCUUACUUUUAAAUGUUGUUUUUUUUCAAUGAUGGAAAACAUUUUCCUUGACUAGUUCAUUUUCCGUGAAAUAAACGUUGGAAAAUCUGGAAAACGUUUUUCCGGAAGUCAUUUUCCGCGAAACAAACGGACCCUUAAAGUACAACACGGAUAGAUGACGUGGUGCUUGUGACUAAAAUGAGAUAGCUUCCUCCAAGGAGAAAAAGUUGAGGAACGCGUUCAAAAAUCUCUCAGUUGGGAAAAGAAGACAAGUGAUGUGAGUGGAGGAUUUCGGAGCGGAGCACGAAUGAACGGAGGAAAAAACGCGUAAGAGAUAAUAUUCUGCCGACAUGACAAACUAGAAAAGAAGCACAAAAUACGAUUAAGUAUUUAGCAACAAUAACUUAUUCUAUCCAAUAGUAAUUUUCUCGAUCUAUAUAGUGAUUUAGAAUUACCAACUUUCAUUAUCGAUGUUGUAACUUUCAAAACAAAUAUAGCAAAUAUUCAUAGCAAAAACAAUCAUAGAAAAAUAGGAGAUUGGUUAUAUCAUAUGCUCUUCAGACAAGUACCUUCUUCAGUCAUUGGCCUCGCCUAGGUGAGGUUGUCGUCGCCUACCACCGAUGAGGCCAGCCAAGCAAGGGUGAGCCUACCGUGUCCGAUGGUUGACACCAACAAAAUAAAAUAAAAAAUAAAAAAUAUUAAAAUAUUAAAAUAUUAAUAUACUAUUAAAAGUAUUCGUGUCAACGUCAAUGUCACUAGUGCCAUAUAAACCAGCCAACAUCCAUGUCGGCAAUAUUCGAUCAAAAUUUGUAUGAAUGAUUAAAUUGACACUAAGUAAAAAUGUUUAAGAUUGAAUUAACACUAAAUAACAAAGGUUUAGGAAAUAAAUUGACACUAAUAAAAGAUUUAUGAUUAAACUGACAUAAUUACAAUAAGUUUAUGACUUUUUAAAUAAUUUUCCUAGAUGUUAUUCAUCAAUUCAAAACCAACUUCUUGCAAAUAAUUGCUGGUGGUGAGAUCUAAAAACCCACGUUGUAAUCAUUGUUACUAGCCCUUUGCAAUCAAUCAUAAAACAUUUUGUUCUUUACAAGUUUAUUUUCCUCUCUAACUCCGUUCGUUUCGCGGAAAAUAACUUCCAGGAAAAUAUUUUCCGGAUUUUCCGGUGUUCGGGUGAGCGGAAAAUCACGGUCAAUGGAAAACAUUUUCCAUUGACCGGAAAAUUCCUUCUUUGCAGCUUGGAAAAUGUUUUCCUCUUUUGAAAAGAGGAAAACAUUUUCCAAGCCUCGCCUUUUCUCUUCCUUCGGUUCUUGUUCUCUCUCUCUCUUGCUCUCCUUGCUGCGAAGUCGGCUUCGACGACGUCCUUCUCCGAGACCAACCUCCGCCCUCCCUGGCCGCUCCUACCCGCCUGCUCCGGCCGGGCCGCCGCCGCCACCGCCGCGCUCCGCUUCCCCGGCGGCUCGAAGCCGCUCGGGAGGAUCCGGCUCAAGAGGGAGCUCCGCGGCGGCGCCGGGAGGCUCGCGGGGAGAUCUAUCACCAGAUCCGGCGAGCUCGGGUGAGAUCGGACGAGCCUCGAGCUCGCCGGAUCUGGCGGCGGAGCUCGCGGCUCACCGGAUCUGGCGGCGGAGCUCGCGGCUCGCCGGAUCCAGGCGAGCUUGAGCUCUGUCGCCAGAUCCGGCGAGCUCAGGUGAGAUCAGCCGAGCCUCGAGCUCGCCGGAGUGGCCACCGGGUCUUGGUCGGCCGCUAGGCAGCCGGCCAUCGUCAGGCAGGAAGGAGGCGGCGGCAGCGGAACGAGGAGGAAGAAGGAGGAGGAAGGAGGCGACGGCGGACGAAGCCGCUCGGGAGGAAUCGGGAGGAAGAAGGAGGAGGAAGGAGGAAGGAAAAAAAAAAAUUCUAUUUUAAAAAUAUAAAUAAUUAAAAAAUCAUUUUUUAAAAAAUAUAAAUAAAUAAAAUAAAUUUUUUGGUCAAUUAAAAAUAUUAAAAUUCAAUUUUUGAUAAUUUUUUUCAGGAAAAUGUUUGAGCUAACGAACAAUGGAAAAUAUUUUCCACUCAAAUUUUAGAUUUUGACCGAACAUCGGAAAAUAGAGUCAUUUUCCUGGAAAAUAACUUCUAGGAAAAUGUUUUCCGGAAACAUGAUAUUUUCCGUGAAACGAACGGAGCAUAAGUUUCUAGUAAAUUUACGUUCUAGCACUUUAGAUUUCCGAUAACCUCUGCCUUUCUCGCAUCUUUUAAUUUCGAGUACUUGUAUUCCAAAUCCUUUAAUUUACAGCCACUUACAUGCCUAUCAAAAAUCAACCAAAAAUUCAUUUUUCGUUAAAUUUCAUAAUUCCAUCAUUUUUAAAGAUUUUCAAUUUUUUGCGAAACAGUAUAGCAAAUAAUUCUCAACAUUUAAAUACCAUCGUCCAUGCUAACCGGGUGAUAUUCGGUGCUUGAGCUCGGCCAUGAUAGCAAGUUUAUGAAGAAAACAACACAAAUAAAUUUAAAUUGUUCUUUUCAAACCCUAAUGCUCUGAUCAGCUCAACACACGAGAAAAUAUUAAGUGGUUUGAUACUACCACAUCAACAUCCUACACAUCAACAUCGUAAGUGAUUGACGUGGAAAUUAAUUGAAAAUUUGCUCUCUCCUCCACCUUUGCUCUCUCUUCCUCCUCCAACCACAGCCGCCGACCUCCGCUCCUCUGCGGCCGUUGCCACCAGCGGAGUCGCCGGCGCCGUGAACAGGCCGACCACCACCGCGUUCAAGCCGAGCCUGUUUUCUCCGUCUCGUCGUUCUCCAGGUCUCGAAUCUGGCCGUCUCAUGGCCGAAAUCGUCUGCGCUGGUCCAUCCAUGGUCGAACGCGUUCAGGCAUCCAUGGCCGUCGGGAUAUGUGAGCUCCGUCCAUGGCCCGAAGGCCAUGGACGCCUACUUCCUCCGCUUUUCUUCUUGAUAUGUGAGCUCCGUCCAUGGCCGUCGGGAUCUCGACCUUGCCCAUCACGGCCAUGGACGAGCAGUCAUGGCCAAAUCUGAAGGCGGCUUCAGAUCCCAUCCACUAUUGAAGAAAGCACGACUUCAGUUCAAAUCUGAAGCAGAGGGAGCGGAAGCCAUGCUUUCUUUCUGAGCAUGACCCAAUCAGUCCAGAUCUGAAGCCCUGCUGACGACCGAGCGCCGUUCAUGGCCGUCUGGACCUCGAGCUUGCCGUCAAGGCUCACGGCCAUGGACAAGCCUUGCAAGCCAUGGACGAGCUAGGCUUGCGGAUCUGGAUGGAGGCACGACUCCAGUCCAGAUCUGAACGAGCAAAGGACUGAGCCGACCGCGAGCAUGACUAAGGGGUGGCUUGGGUCGACUGCACGUGACGCCGAAAGCAGUGGCGAUGCUGGCCGAACGGGGCGGUGCUCUAUGACGGAGGAGGAAGCGCCGGCGGCCAUGGAGGACAACCAGUUCGGCAGAGAAAGGAGGAAGAAGAAAAUAAUAAUUUUUUUUAUUCCACCUCAGCUUACACUUUUCGAUUUAUUAUUGCGCAUAAGUAAAAAAAAGCAUGCCACGUCAAUUGCUGACGUGGCUGUUGGCAACUGAUGGAGCACAGGAGAAACUGUCAGAGGAGCGUUUUGACUUGGUUUGCAUACUUCACUGUCUAUCCUCUGUUUCACGGAAAUUCACCUUCAUCCUCUCCGCGUUCUUGGUAUUUCCUUCAUAUAGAGAGCGAUCCAGAGCCCAAAUGGGACUUGUUGGUGAUUGCAGCUCUGAGCAGGAUCGGCCGCAAAUGGGACUGAUUGCAGCCGUUGCUUUAAUCAAUAUCAUCUUGGCCUCGAUGCUGUGCGUUCCGUAAGUGCUCUCUGUUCGGCUUAUUUUCCAAAGCUUGUUUGAUGGGUUCCUGUUUUGAAGUCUCCUUAAAGGCUUGAACUCGGAUUACGAAUAAUUGGCAGGGUCCUGGGACAACUGACGAGAGUGAAGAAAAGCCGGAGGAGCUCAGAGGCAACGCUGAGCGUGGAAGAUGUACUGCCAGGAUACGAGUACGAGGUUUUCUUGAGUUUCAGGGGAUCAGACACACGCAACAACUUCACUGAUUGCCUUUACCGUAGAUUGAGACUCGCUGGAGUCCAUGUCUUCCGAGACAACGAAGAACUCCGAGUCGGAAAAGAAAUCGGUGGUGAGCUUUUGAAAGCGCUCAACAAUUCUCGGAUCUACAUACCCAUCUUCUCCCAGAACUAUGCUACCAGUUCGUGGUGUCUCCGUGAGGUUGCGCACAUGGUCG